rnacentral:rRNA from 1 species
UACGUAGGGGGCAAGCGUUGUCCGGAAUCAUUGGGCGUAAAGCGCGUGUAGGCGGUCCGGUAAGUCCGCUGUGAAAGUCGGGGGCUCAACCCUCGGAUGCCGGUGGAUACUGUCGGGCUUGAGUACGGAAGAGGCGAGUGGAAUUCCUGGUGUAGCGGUGAAAUGCGUAGAUAUCGAGAGGAACACCUGCGGCGAAGGCGGGUUGCUGGGCUGACACUGACGCUGAUUGUGCGAAAGCUAGGGGAGCGAACGGG